GGAAUUCGUGGUGUAGCGGUGAAAUGCUUAGAUAUCACGAAGAACUCCGAUUGCGAAGGCAGCCUGCUGGACUGUAACUGACGCUGAUGCUCGAAAGUGUGGGUAUCAAACAGGAUUAGAUACCCUGGUAGUCCACACAGUAAACGAUGAAUACUCGCUGUUUGCGAUAUACAGUAAGCGGCCAAGCGAAAGCGUUAAGUAUUCCACCUGGGGAGUACGCCGGCAACGGUGAAACUCAAAGGAAUUGACGGGGGCCCGCACAAGCGGAGGAACAUGUGGUUUAAUUCGAUGAUACGCGAGGAACCUUACCCGGGCUUGAAUUGCAACUGAAUGAUGUGGAGACAUGUCAGCCGCAAGGCAGUUGUGAAGGUGCUGCAUGGUUGUCGUCAGCUCGUGCCGUGAGGUGUCGGCUUAAGUGCCAUAACGAGCGCAACCCUUAUCGAUAGUUACCAUCAGGUUAUGCUGGGGACUCUGUCGAGACUGCCGUCGUAAGAUGUGAGGAAGGUGGGGAUGACGUCAAAUCAGCACGGCCCUUACGUCCGGGGCUACACACGUGUUACAAUGGGGGGUACAGAAGGCAGCUACACGGCGACGUGAUGCUAAUCCCUAAAGCCUCUCUCAGUUCGGAUUGGAGUCUGCAACCCGACUCCAUGAAGCUGGAUUCGCUAGUAAUCGCGCAUCAGCCACGGCGCGGUGAAUACGUUCCCGGGCCUUGUACACACCGCCCGUCAAGCCAUGAAAGCCGGGGGUACCUGAAGUGCGUAACCGCGAGGAGCGCCCUAGGGUAAAACUGGUGAUUGGGGCUAAGUCGUAACAAGGUAGCCGUACCGGAAGGUGCGGCUG
rnacentral:rRNA from 1 species